GACGGAGGAGGCAAGCGUUAUCCGGAAUUAUUGGGCGUAAAGGGUACGUAGGCGGCUGGUCAAGUCUGGGGUCAAAGGCCACAGCUCAACUGUGGAAAGGCCCUGGAAACUGACCGGCUAGAGUGAGGUAGGGGUUGCGGGAAUUCCCGGUGUAGCGGUGAAAUGCGUAGAGAUCGGGAAGAUCACCUGAGGCGGAAGCGCGCAACUGGGCCUCAACUGACGCUGAGGUACGAAAGCCAGGGGAGCGCAUGGG
rnacentral:rRNA from 1 species